UACGGGGGGGGCAAGCGUUGUUCGGAAUUACUGGGCGUAAAGGGCUCGUAGGUGGCCAACUAAGUCAGACGUGAAAUCCCUCGGCUUAACCGGGGAACUGCGUCUGAUACUGGAUGGCUUGAAUCCGGGAGAGGGAUGCGGAAUUCCAGGUGUAGCGGUGAAAUGCGUAGAUAUCUGGAGGAACACCGGUGGCGAAGGCGGCAUCCUGGACCGGUAUUGACGCUGAGGAGCGAAAGCCAGGGGAGCAAACGGG
rnacentral:rRNA from 1 species